UUAAUCAUGUUUAAAGAUUAAUUUAACCAGUUAGCGCAAGGCUCUUAGGAGCCAUUCCCCUAAGCCCGGAACAGGAAUCGUUCUGGGCUCUUUUUU
rnacentral:sRNA from 1 species